CAGUAGUCACGUAGUUGAUCAGUGGCUCAGAACGACGCUGGCGGCAUGCCUAACACAUGCAAGUCGAACGAGACCUUCGGGUCUAGUGGCGCACGGGUGCGUAACGCGUGGGAACCUGCCUUUAGGUUCGGAAUAACUCAGAGAAAUUUGAGCUAAUACCGGAUAAUGUCUUCGGACCAAAGAUUUAUCGCCUUUAGAUGGGCCCGCGUUGGAUUAGCUAGUUGGUGGGGUAAAGGCCUACCAAGGCGACGAUCCAUAGCUGGUCUGAGAGGAUGAUCAGCCACACUGGGACUGAGACACGGCCCAGACUCCUACGGGAGGCAGCAGUGGGGAAUAUUGGACAAUGGGCGAAAGCCUGAUCCAGCAAUGCCGCGUGAGUGAUGAAGGCCUUAGGGUUGUAAAGCUCUUUUACCCGAGAUGAUAAUGACAGUAUCGGGAGAAUAAGCUCCGGCUAACUCCGUG
rnacentral:rRNA from 1 species